rnacentral:lncRNA from 1 species
GGCGUUAAUAUUGAGUCACUGAUAAGAUCUUGGCAUCGGAACUAAACACAUUUAUUCUAAAAACAGUUGUUGGCAUGACACGGGUUAUGUUCUUCUCAUAUAUGUUAUGAUGGUAUGAUACUAAACCCCUAACGGGAAGGAUUGUGUCUGAUGUUCAUAUGAUGAAAUCAUAAUCUUUCAGUCAGUUUAAUUGAAGUCUGGAGCUGGCAUGUCAGUUAACUGCUAGUAGUCUGUUGUUAUUUAUGUAUUAUUGUCAUUUUGUUUAUUUUCUUUAGUUACAUCUUCCGACAUCAGACUCGGACUUCUCUUGAACUGAAUUUUAAUGUGCGUAUUGUUAUGCGUUUACUUUUCUACAUUGGUUAGAGGUAUAGGGGGAGGGUUGAG